rnacentral:misc_RNA from 1 species
AAGGACUACUCGGGUUUCUAAUCCUGUUUGCUCCCCACGCUUUCGCGUCUCAGCGUCAGUCACCGUCCAGAAGGCCGCCUUCGCCGCUGGUAUUCCUCCCGAUAUCUACGGAUUUCACCCCUACACCGGGAAUUCUGCCUUCCUCUCCGGGACUCUAGCGAGACAGUAUCAACUGCAAUUCCGGGGUUGGGCCCCGGGCUUUCACAGCCGACUUGCCAAGCCGCCUACACGCGCUUUACGCCCAAUGAUUCCGAACAACGCUCGCACCCUCCGUAUUACCGCGGCGGCUGGCACAA